rnacentral:rRNA from 1 species
AGCAGUAGCCGCGGGAAUACGGAGGAUCCAAGCGUUAUCCGGAAUCAUUGGGUUUAAAGGGUCCGUAGGCGGUCUUGUAAGUCAGUGGUGAAAGCCCAUCGCUCAACGGUGGAACGGCCAUUGAUACUGCAGGACUUGAAUUAUUGGGAAGUAACUAGAAUAUGUAGUGUAGCGGUGAAAUGCUUAGAGAUUACAUGGAAUACCAAUUGCGAAGGCAGGUUACUACCAAUUGAUUGACGCUGAUGGACGAAAGCGUGGGUAGCGAACAGGAUUAGAUACCCCGUAGUCCCUGUCUCUUAUACA